rnacentral:lncRNA from 1 species
ACACGUCUCCCUAGCUGAAACGCCAAGAGGACUGGACCGAUAAUGCUGGCACCACCAGAGUACCCAGGUGAGAGGUUCUGGGUGAUGAGGAGACACUUGCCGCACUCCGAGCCAUGGACGUGUUACAGGAGGAUCAUGCUGCUCCGCAAUAUUCUCAUCCGGAACGGACAGAAAAUAACCAAAUGUCCCAGGAACACUGUCCCCAUUGUUAAUACUACGUCUCAACUGCUGUCUGACUGACGUACGAUAUCCUAUCUGGACCUGCCAUUCCUCCAUCUGGCCAUUUCUUCACCUAGUUUCAUUCUGCCCUUUCACUUACACAGCUAGACUCAACCCUGCAGGUAACAAAUACCAGCAGCUCCUUUUCACAGACGUCCAGCUGACUCUUUUAUCUCAUUUCCUAUAGACAUUUAUAUUUCCCAGCUCUGGCUUCUCAGAUUUCUUUGAAACUCCUUGCCUCUUUAAUCCUCUGCAGUCAUUCUGCAACAUGCACAUGUAUGUGUGUGUUGUUUUCUGUUUGCUUUAACUAUACACAAACUAAAUAUCCAGGGAGAGGAACCCCAAUUGUGAAAAUGUCACCAUAAAUUGACCAGUAAAUAAGUCUCUGGGGGCAUUUUCUUGAGUUAAAAUUGGUAGGAGAGGGUCUAGCCCAUUGGGGGCGGUGUCACCACCAAGCCAGUGGUCCUGGGUGAUAUAAGAAAGCAGAAUGAUGGGGCUGAAGAGAUAGUUCAGCUGUUGCUUGUUCUUAUAGUGAACACUGGUUUAAUUCCCAGCACCAAUAUGGUAGCUCACAAACGUCCAUAACCUCCAGUUCCUGAGAAUCCAAUGCCCUCUUCUGACCUCCGUAGGCACCAAGCACGUCUUUGGUGCACGAACAAGC